AGUGAACGCUGGCGGCGUGCUUAACACAUGCAAGUCGAACGAGAACGGAUUAUAGCUUGCUAUAAUUGUCAGCUAAGUGGCGCACGGGUGAGUAAUGUAUAGGUAAUAUGCCUCUUACUAAGGGAUAACAAAUGGAAACGUUUGCUAAUACCUUAUACUCCUUAUUAACAGAAGUUAAUAAGGGAAAGAUUUAUUGGUAAGAGAUUAGCCUGUAUUGUAUCAGUUAGUUGGUGGGGUAAUGGCUUACCAAGACUAUGACACAUAACUGGUUUGAGAGGAUGGUCAGUCACACUGGAACUGAGACACGGUCCAGACUCCUACGGGAGGCAGCAGUGGGGAAUCUUGCACAAUGGACGAAAGUCUGAUGCAGCAACGCCGCGUGGAGGAUGACACAUUUCGGUGCGUAAACUCCUUUUAUAUGAGAAGAUAAUGACGGUAUUAUAUGAAUAAGCACCGGCUAACUCCGUGCCAGCAGCCGCGGUAA
rnacentral:rRNA from 1 species